rfam:Clostridium sp. CAG:352 genomic scaffold, scf170
GUUGGUAUUGAUGACGCUGAGGGUCCACCCGUUCCCAUGCCGAACACGGAAGUUAAGCUCAGUAGUGCCGAAGAUACUUGAUUGGUGACGAUCUGGAAAAAUAGGAAGAUGCCAACA